UAGGCGUAAAUGAUGCGAGUUAAGUGUGGGGGCAUCUACGAGAUGGCCCUGUGCUGUAGGGUAGCCGUUAAACUCGCUGCCUGGGGAGUACGGUCGCAAGGCUGAAACUUAAAGGAAUUGGCGGGGGAGCACCACAAGAGGUGGAGGCUGCGGUUCAAUUGGACUCAACGCCGGAAAUCUUACCGGGACCGACAGCAACAUGAAGGCCAGGCUGAAGACUUUGCCGGAUUAGCUGAGAGGAGGUGCAUGGCGUAGUCGUGU
rnacentral:rRNA from 1 species